UUCAGAAAACGGCAAACUCAUUGAAAAAUGAGGGCGCAAAGUCGACAGGCCUAAGGGAUACGUAUUUUUAACGGAAAAUGCUACUAUGGCGGCUGGGCUACCUGG
rnacentral:ncRNA from 1 species